CUACGGGAGGCAGCAGUGGGGAAUAUUGGACAAUGGGCGAAAGCCUGAUCCAGCCAUGCCGCGUGUGUGAAGAAGGCCUUCGGGUUGUAAAGCACUUUCAGCGAGGAGGAAGGGUUGUGUGUUAAUAGUACACAGCCUUGACGUUACUCGCAGAAGAAGCACCGGCUAACUCUGUGCCAGCAGCCGCGGUAAUACAGAGGGUGCAAGCGUUAAUCGGAAUUACUGGGCGUAAAGCGCACGUAGGCGGUUUUUUAAGUCAGAUGUGAAAGCCCCGGGCUCAACCUGGGAAUUGCAUUUGAAACUGGAAAACUAGAGUGUGUGAGAGGGGGGUAGAAUUCCAAGUGUAGCGGUGAAAUGCGUAGAGAUUUGGAGGAAUACCAGUGGCGAAGGCGGCCCCCUGGCACAACACUGACGCUCAGGUGCGAAAGCGUGGGGAGCAAACAGGAUUAGAUACCCGUGUAGUC
rnacentral:rRNA from 1 species